rnacentral:rRNA from 1 species
UGAGAGAAGGGAUGACACAGUAGGAUAAGCUAAGCACACUGUUGGUUAUGUGUGCCCAAGCAUUGAGGCGGUCAAAGUAGGCAAAUCCGCUUUGAUAAUGCUGGGAUGUGAUGGGGAGCGAAAUUUAGUAGCGAAGUAGCUGAUUUCACACUGUCAAGAAAAGUCUCUAUCGAGGUUAAAGGUACCCGUACCGCAACCCGACACAGGUGGGUGAGGAGAGUAUCCUAAGGCCAGCGAGAGAACUGUUGUUAAGGAACUCGGCAAAAUGACCCCGUAACUUAGGGAUAAGG